rnacentral:rRNA from 1 species
UACGGAGGGGGCGAGCGUUAUUCGGAAUUAUUGGGCGUAAGGCGCGUAGGCGGCCUUGUAAGUCAAAGGUGAAAUCCCUCGGCUCAACUGAGGAACUGCCUUUGAAACUGCAAGGCUUGAGGCCGGGAGGGGGUAGCGGAAUUCCCAAUGUAGCGGUGAAAUGCGUAGAUAUUGGGAGGAACACCAGUGGCGAAGGCGGCUACCUGGACCGGUUCUGACGCUGAGGCGCGAAAGCGUGGGUAGCAAACAGG